rnacentral:rRNA from 1 species
UAAUUGAAGAGUUUGAUCAUGGCUCAGAUUGAACGCUGGCGGCAGGCCUAACACAUGCAAGUCGAGCGGUAACAGGGGAAGCUUGCUUCCCGCUGACGAGCGGCGGACGGGUGAGUAAUGUAUGGGGAUCUGCCCGAUAGAGGGGGAUAACUACUGGAAACGGUAGCUAAUACCGCAUAAUCUCUAAGGAGCAAAGCAGGGGAACUUCGGUCCUUGCGCUAUCGGAUGAACCCAUAUGGGAUUAGCUAGUAGGUGAGGUAAUGGCUCACCUAGGCGACGAUCCCUAGCUGGUCUGAGAGGAUGAUCAGCCACACUGGGACUGAGACACGGCCCAGACUCCUACGGGAGGCAGCAGUGGGGAAUAUUGCACAAUGGGCGCAAGCCUGAUGCAGCCAUGCCGCGUGUAUGAAGAAGGCCCUAGGGUUGUAAAGUACUUUCAGUCGGGAGGAAGGCGUUGAUGCUAAUAUCAUCA